GGAGGAUCACGAGCUACUCUCUCCCUCCGCGCCUUGGCUACAACAGACGGAGGAACCGGAGUGCGGGUCACGUGACACAGGAAGGCGCGAGCGCGCCAUUGUUACUAUGGCAACAGCCUCGCAAGCGCCCCUAGGUAAAUAUGCCGAGUGGUCAAUUUUGGGCUGUGUAGUAACACAUCUUUCAUCUUGUCAAAGCAUUCUUCCUUUAAGUCUUGGAACCAAGAAGGAGCCAAACCUGGAGGUGGAGGACCUGCAUGUUAGGGUGAAGAGAGAAGGUGAGGAAUGGGGCUGAAGAGGAACCAUAGACAUAGUGCCAUCUGUGCCAGCAGCCAAGAGGCUUGGAAGUGGGGCAAAGUAAAGGACUCCCAGACACACUAAUAGCCAGAAGACUACAGUGGAAGGAAGGAACAGAGAGACUUCUUUUUCCAAAGGAAAUGGGGAGCAGAGGAGAGGGCCUUCAAAUGUAAUCAGACACAUAAGCCCCCAAACGGGGUCCAUGGACAGGUGAGGGGAGGUUGGCUUGUCUCCUAGAUGUUGCCUUUGGAGAUUGUGCACUCCUCCACCCCCAUCUUUCAUAUUGGUCUCUGAGACACUGAAGACAAUGCAGGAAGAGAUAUGCUGUAAUAUUACAGAAAAGACAAAAAUGAGAGAAAAAC